rnacentral:rRNA from 1 species
GCAUAUCAAUAAGCGGAGGAAAAGAAAAUAACAAUGAUUCCCCUAGUAACUGCGAGUGAAGAGGGACAAGCUCAAAUUUUAAAUCCGUCGGGUUACACCUGACCGAGUUGUAAUUUGAAGAGGCGUUUUCCGCGUUUUUGAUCAGUCCAAGUCCUUUGGGAUAGGGCAUCAUGGAGGGUGAGAAUCCCGUUCGGCUGAUCAGAUUCGCUUUACGAUACGUCAUCUAAGAGUCAAGUUGUUUGGGAAUGCAGCUUAAAAUGGGAGGUAAAUUUCUCCUAAGGCUAAAUAACGGCGAGAGACCGAUAGCGAACAAGUACCGUGAGGGAAAGAUGAAAAGAACUUUGAAAAGAGAGUUAAACAGUACGUGAAAUUGUUGAAAGGGAAACGAUUGAAGCCAGUCGUACCGGUGGGUAAUCAGCCUUUCGGCGUGAUUAUGUGGAGCGUGAGGAGUUAAACGCCCUCAUGGCCUGCAUAUUCGUGUUCUUUGGGUGUACUUACCCGCAUGGUAGGUUAACAUCAAUUUCGAACGUCAUAAAAUGGUUGGAGGAAUGUAGCUUCGAUCUCGUAUUGAAGUGUUAUAGACUCCGGCAGAUGUGAUGAUCGGGAUUGAGGAUUGCAACGGAUACCCUUCGGGGCUACCCGUCUGAUCUCUGAAAGUUGCUCUGGUGCCGAAAGCUCGCUUACGGUCAUCAAAGUUGACGUUCAACAGGUUAGAACGGGAUAAAUUCGUUAAGGAUGUUGACGUAAUGGCUUUAAACGAC